GCGAACGCUGGCGGCGUACUUAACACAUGCAAGUCGAACGAGGAUCGCUACGUGAGCAAUCAUGCGGCGGUUCUAGUGGCGUACGGGUGAGUAACACGUGGGCAACCUGCCCUGGAGCCUGGGAUACCCUCUCGAAAGGGAGGCUAAUACCGGAUACGUUCCCCGGUCGCGAGAUCUGGGAGGGAAAGGUAGGCGCAAGCUGCCGCUCUUGGAGGGGCGUCGCGGCCUAUCAGCUAGUUGG
rnacentral:rRNA from 1 species